AAUGCACCAAUUUGUAAGUCGCUCUGGAUAAGAGCGUCUGCUAACUUACGUAAA
rfam:Salmo salar isolate Sally breed double haploid chromosome ssa23, whole genome shotgun sequence.